UAUAUAUAUCAAAAUCUUUAUCUUAUGUACUAACUAAACUAAACUCUAAAUAUAAAUAAAAAUUAAUUAAAGUUCUAAUUCUUCUCCAACUCAAUCAAUUAUCUCCUCGCAACUAACCUCAAAGCCAUCCUUCCGCACCAUCGCAUACAACCUCGCCGCCGCUGUGAGCCUCCGGUCCGCCGCGCUUCACCGUUGCUCUUAGUCUUUUUUCCGGUCGCCGCCUCCCCUCUUCGAAGGCCGGUUGAGGUCACCCGACAAGUUAAACACUUCGAAGAGAACCAUUCCGUUCGAUUUCUCGCUUAAUUAGUCGGGCAGAGAAGCUUGAAGGUGAUCUAUCAAGGUCGCCGCCGUCGACUGGAAUUUCAUAAUUUCCUCCGCACAUGGGAUUUUAAAAUUUAUAUACACUAACUAUGAACAUGGAAGUUACAUUGCGCAAAACAAGCUCAUCUUCAGCUAAUGAGGUAUAUAGACAAAGAAAAAAUCUACAAAGACAAAAGAAACGUAAACGAAAUGCAAGUGAUUUGAAUUGUUCAUUGCUACAUGAAUUGAAAAAUGUGCCUGAUUGCAUUCGUUGUGGUGCAAGAAGAUUUGAAUAUGAACCUCCUACUUUUUGUUGUGAUAAUGGAAAAGUUAAACUUGCAUUUUCUGAAGUUCCUCCGAAGUUGGAUGAAUUGUUUACAGCCCAGUCAGAAGAAGCUAUUAAUUUCAGAAGGAAUAUUCGUGCUUAUAAUAGUAUAUUCUCAUUUACUUCGUUUGGUGUAAAAUUGGACAAAGAAUUGGCAUCUGCAAGAUGGGGAGUUUAUUCUUUUCGAGCACAAGGCAUGGUUUAUCAUGAUCUUCCUGGAUUGAUCCCACAAUAUACGUCUCCAACAUUUUUUCAGCUAUACU